rnacentral:rRNA from 1 species
GAUGAACGCUGGCGGCGUGCCUAACACAUGCAAGUCGAGCGGCAGCGAGGGGUGCUUGCACCCUGUCGGCGAGCGGCGGACGGCUGAGUAACGCGUGGGAACGUGCCCCAAAGUGAGGAAUAACUGCCCGAAAGGGUAGCUAAUACCGCAUAUUAUCUUCGGAUCAAAGGAUUUAUCCGCUUUGGGAGCGGCUCGCGUCGGAUUAGGUAGCUGGUGAGGUAAUGGCUCACCAAGCCGACGAUCCGUAGCUGGUCUGAGAGGAUGACCAGCCAGACUGGAACUGAGACACGGUCCAGACUCCUACGGGAGGCAGCAGUGAGGAAUCUUCCACAAUGGGCGAAAGCCUGAUGGAGCAACGCCGCGUGCAGGACGAAGGCCUUCGGGUUGUAAACUGCUUUUAUAAGUGAGGAAUAUGACGGUAACUUAUGAAUAAGGAUCGGCUAACUACGUG